CCCGCUGAACUUAAGCAUAUCAAUAAGCGGAGGAAAAGAAACCAACAGGGAUUGCCUCAGUAACGGCGAGUGAAGCGGCAACAGCUCAAAUUUGAAAUCUGGCCCCCCUCAGGGCCCGAGUUGUAAUUUGGAGAAGAUGCUUCGGGUGUGGCCCCGGUCUAAGUUCCUUGGAACAGGACGUCACAGAGGGUGAGAAUCCCGUACGUGCCCGGUGGCCGCGCCCGUGUGAAGCUCUUUCGACGAGUCGAGUUGUUUGGGAAUGCAGCUCAAAAUGGGUGGUAAAUUUCAUCUAAAGCUAAAUAUUGGCCAGAGACCGAUAGCGCACAAGUAGAGUGAUCGAAAGAUGAAAAGCACUUUGGAAAGAGAGUUAAACAGUACGUGAAAUUGUUGAAAGGGAAGCGCUUGCAACCAGACUUGGGCGCGGCCGAUCAUCCGGUGUUCGCACCGGUGCACUCGGCCGCGCGCAGGCCAGCAUCGGCCUGGGUGGUUGGAUAAAGGCCUUGGGAAUGUGACUCUCUUCGGGGAGUGUUAUAGCCCAAGGUGCAAUGCAGCCCACCUGGACCGAGGACCGCGCUCCGGCUAGGAUGCUGGCGUAAUGGUUGUAAGCGACCCGUCUUGAAACACGG
rnacentral:rRNA from 1 species